GACGAACGCUGGCGGCGUGCUUAACACAUGCAAGUCGAACGGAAAGGCCCUGCUUUUGUGGGGUGCUCGAGUGGCGAACGGGUGAGUAACACGUGAGUAACCUGCCCUUGACUUUGGGAUAACUUCAGGAAACUGGGGCUAAUACCGGAAAGGAGCUCUUGCUGCAUGGUGGGGGUUGGAAAGUUUCGGCGGUUGGGGAUGGACCCGCGGCUUAUCAGCUUGUUGGUGGGGUAGUGGCUUACCAAGGCUUUGACGGGUAGCCGACCUGAGAGGGUGACCGGCCACAUGGGGACUGAGAUACGGCCCAGACUCGUACGGGAGGCAGCGGUGGGGAAUAUUGCACAAUGGGCGGAAGCCUGAUGCAGCAACGCCGCGUGCGGGAUGACGGCCUUCGGGUUGUAAACCGCUUUCGCCUGUGACGAAGCGUGAGUGACGGUAAUGGGUAAAGAAGCACCGGCUAACUACGUG
rnacentral:rRNA from 1 species